AUGUGGAGAAGUCGGGCUGCUGUAUCUAAAGGACUGACUCUCACCCCUAAUUUCUGUCAUCUUUGGUACAGAAAGGUAUUCUGCAAGCUACACAAACAAACAAAUGCAACCAUAAAUCCUUGGAUUGACAAUGGUGUCCUGCCUGCAAGACAUGCUAAUUCAAAGUGUCACAACAUUGCUGGAGUAACCAACCGAUUUCUGAUUUGACUGAAGGCCUACUCCAUGAGCUAUUCCGGACACUGUUUGGUGCCCAAAACCCUGAGACUAAAUAGCCCAGGGUUCUAAGGUAAAAUAAGACUGGUCUUAAAAAGAAAGCUAGGAAUAAAAUGACUCCUAAUGACAUUCUGUGCUCAUAGGUCAGUGCCCUGCUCAGACAUCAUCAGAGAAGCUUCCUCCUGCAGCAGACGGGAACAAAUACAGGAUCUACAGCCAGACAUUACACAGAAGCCUUGGAACAUGCAGCCCUAAAUGGGAUGUCUCCAUUAAAUCCCUGCCCUCAGGGCUCAGGGAACCUUGCAGAAGAGGAGGUGGAACGAGUGAAAGAACCAGAAAGGAUGGAGGACUACAAGAGAACAAGAGCAAAGCCCACCAUGAGAAGGGAGAGGAGCAGCCAGACUGCAUGGUCCUUCUGCUCGGUGGAAGAACAAGCCUUUGACCAUCUGGGUUGCUCUACUGCUGUCUUAUGAGUAAAAAAUUUAAUUUGAAGAUGGAAAUUCCUGCCCUCCAUCCCAAACUCUGACUUUCAGAAUAAGUUCUAUAAAUACAUCUAAUAAAACCAGGAACUACAAUGAAGGCCUCACUUCAUACCUUAGAAAAGCCUGGAUCUUUUAAUCCUUCUGCCUCUGCCUCUCAAGUCAAGGACUAUAGAUUUGUGUUACCAUAACCAAAUCUAAACUGGCAAAUUAAUGUUCGGCAUAGCAAAAAGCCUUUCUCUGAAUGGUACUGCUAAGAGAGUGAAGAGACAAACUGCCAACACUGGGAGAAAUACUUGCAAAUUAUGAAUAUGAAAAAGGAUGUACAUCUGAAAACGAAUAAAUCUCAGUGCUCAACAACACAGGGCCAGGUGUGGAGGUGCACAGCUUCCAGCACUUGGGGGCUGGAGGGCAGAAUGCCUGAGUUCAAGGCCAUCCAGGGCUACACAGAGACCCGUCUCACAAACCAAAACAAUCAAAGCUCAACAACAAGAAAACAAACAACUUGACCCAAGACAAGAAAUUGAUGGCUACUAGGCAGAUGAAAAGAUGCCUAACACAGAAAGCCUUAAGACACAUUGGAGAAAUACAAAAUAAAACCAGAGCACAAUGCUGGUGCCAAGCUAAUAGAAUAGCACACAGUCAUUCAUUGGAAUGCAUCAGAGUCCUAUCACCUUCUAAACCAGACUCCUGAAAACAGCAACAGCAACAACAGCAACAGCACUGAACAUCGAACAUGGAUCUCACCACCUCACUCCUUGGACCUGGCCCAAGAGAGAUGAAAACUAUGUUAUCCUAGAACCUGCACUAGAAGGUUCAUAGAAACUGUUCUCAUUGAUUCCCAAGACUGAAGUAACUCAAGUGUUCUUCAGCACCAAUGGUCAGUGAGUGUGGUGCACCUGUGUGAGGGAAGCACCUGACAUCAGGAGAAGCUGGUAUGUCACACACUGAGAGGCAGAAGACAGUCGGAUAUGCACACACUAAUGUUCACAUGACAGUCUGCAAAAGGGCAAAUUACUCAACAGAGACGGGGAAGAACAGCAGUUGACAGUGGGAGGAGUUAGAACGCAAUGCAGCAACAAGCCACAGCUGUUUUGCAGUGUUCUCAAGAGCAUUCCUGGAGAUUCCUCAGAAAAUUGUUAAUAGAUCUAUCUGAAGACCCGGCUACACCACUCUUGGGCAUAUACCCAAAAGAUGCCCCACCAUGCUACAGGAGCACAUGUUCCACUAUGUUCAUAGUGGCCUUAUCUGUGAUAGCCAGAAGCUGGAAACAACCCAGAUGUCCCAUGACAGAAGAAUGGAUACAGAAAACGUGAUUCAUUUACACAGUGGAAUACUACUCAGCGAUUAAGAAUGAGGACAUCAUGAGUUUUGCAGGCAAAUGGAUGGAACUAGAAAAUAUCAUCCUGAGUGAGGUAACUCAGACCCACAAGGACAUGCAUGGUAUGUACUCACUAAUAAGUGAAUAUUAUCCCCCCCCCAAAAAAAAGGUACAGAAUACCCAGGAUACAGUCCACAGAACUCAAGAAAGUUAACAAGGUAAAGGGUCCAAGUGAGGACACCUCAGUUCCACCUGGGAGGGAGAAGAAAUCAAUCACAGGGCAGAGGGAGGGAGGCAGGUAGGAAGGGGCAUUGAGGGGAAAGGGGGAACAUGAUCAGGUCCUGGGGAGGGGGAGAAAAGGAGUGAAGUCCCGAAGGCCAGCAGAAAGAAUGGAAACAGGCAACCCCAGGAGGUAGGAGGUGUGGAGGGGUACAGAGUGUACCCGAGACCUGGGAGGUGAGAGACUCUCAGGACCCAAAGGGAGGGACCUUAGAUGAAAUACCCAAUAGUGGGGAGAGGGAACUUGUAGAGUUCACCUCCACAGAAAGACAGGGCAUCAAGUAGAGGGAUGGGGCUGCCAUCCUACAGUCAAAAACUCUACCCAGAAUUGUUCCUGUCUAAAAGAACUGCAGGGACAAGAGCCCGAGGAAAGGAGGUCCAGUGACUGGCCCAAAGUGGGAUCCAGUUCAAGGAGAGGAUCCAAGGCCUGACACUAUCACUGAGGCUACUGUAUGCUCACGAAAAGGGGCCUAUCAUGACUGCCCUCCAAUAUAACCAGCAAACAGCUGAAAAAGAGUCAGAUGCAGACACUUGCACCCAAUCAACGAACCCCUAUAGUUAAAUUAGGGAAAGGCUGGAAGAAGCUGAGGAGGAGGGAGAUCCCCAUAGGAAGAUCAGCAGUCUCAACUAACCUGGACCCCUGAGAUCUCUCAGACACUGAGCCACCAACCAGACAGUACACAGUAGCUGGUCGGAGGCCUCCCACACAUAUACAGCAGAGGUCCACCUGGGCUGGCCUCAGUGAGAGAAGAUGCAUCUAGUCCUGGAGAGACUUGAGCCCCCAGGGAGUGGGAAGGUCUAGUGGGGUGGGGGAGCAGUGGGGACAUCCUCUAGGAGACAGGGGAGGAGGAAUAGGAUGAGGAGCUGUCAGAGGGUAGACCAGGAGGGGCUUCCUCAGGUAAAACACUCAUACAUAUAAAAUAAGAUAAAGUAAAAUAAUCUUAAACAAAAGCCUGGAACGGAGAAAUGGCUCAACUGAUAUCUACUGAAGAUCCAAUUUCAGGUCCCAGAAUCCAUGUGGGUGCAUUACAACUGCCUGUAACUCAAGCUCCAAGGGGGUCCAAGACCUCUGGCCUAUUUGGUAUUUAUUCUCAUUGUCUCUCAAAGUUUUUGUCUGUCUGUCUGUCUGUCUGUCUGUCUCUCCACUUAAAAAAAGAAAAGAAAAGCACUCUGAUGGCAAUAAAUCUGUCAUAGAACUUAAGAGAAAAGAACAGGGCCAUAAAGUCGUGGCUCUCCCCUACCUCAGUGACUAUGUUAAAAUGGUCAUUUAUUGGGUGAAUAGGAGUUUAUGACACACAAUAUGUAGAAAGUAAACGAACGGUUCAUUAUUUUUAAAUUAGGCUAAAUUAAAUUGAACAUUAUAAAUCCAAACUAAGAGACCAAAUAUUACUGAUAGAGAGAAUUUAGAAUAGUAACAACAAACUAUUUCUGAGUAAUUAGUAAGUAUCAGUCAGACACCUGCAAACACCCAGCUGCCCUAUCUCAACUGCUCUGUGAAGUAGGACUUAAGGUGUAUUACUGAAAUGGAUUCCUCUUUUCUCCACCCCAUGACUCUCUAUAAUGCAGAAGCACUACAAUGUCAGCGAUUCCUGAAGAUGACACAAUGUAUGCCUACCUGCAUGAGAUCCUGAAGGCUUUCAACAAAAGAAACCUCGGCUUCGACCAUAUAGAAUUCAGCCAGGUGUCUCCGGCUCUGCGAAUUCUCAGCUCGGAACGUUGGGCCGAAGGCAUAAAGCCAUUUGCAGCAAGGCUUAAAAAUUGCUUCUUAGCCUUUUGGUUAUAUCAAGUGUAGCAAAGCUUAAACCAACCAACAUUUAAAAUGAAAACCAAAGAACAAGGACAAUUUCUAAAAUAAGACACAAAACCAGGUGAAAGGCCAGCAUUGCUGUGAGAGGACGCCAGAAGAAAGCACUCAGCUCUAAAAACCCUUUCUGUGCCAAAUUCCGGGGAGAUGAGAGCUAUAUAAGGAAAGUCCUGAGCUUAGAGUAGAUGUUUAAGAUAACAAAAGAACAUUCAAUACCCAUCAAUCAAGAUUGCUACAAAGACAGCUUUUGGGGGUGGGGGUGGGGGUGGGGAGUGAAAUCACAGAGGCAGCUCUACAGAAGACACUUUCUCUUUCCUGUGGAGUUUUCUCAAGUCCUCAAGUUGCUAAAUAGAGUAACUUAAAAUGGUCACUGAAUAUAUGACCAUUUAUUCUUUCUGAAGAACUAGGCUUCAUAGUUAGAAUGAAUACAGGGUAUUUUUGUUCUUUAGCUGGAGAACUGAAUUUAUAUGAGACCAAACAGCAUUUUUUCUAAUCCCCCAACCUCCAUGUUACCCUCCACUGUCCACUUGGUACAAGUCCACUGACAGGAAGUGAAACACAGGCAGCUUUCCAGUGGCCCCUAAAACAGGCACUGCUAAAUGUUUCCUCCACCAUUCAGAGAACCACUGUUAGACUGUCAACCAAAAGUUAUCAAAAGAGAUGAAGAAGGACACUUCAUACUCAAAAGAAAAAUCCUCCACGAGGAAAUCACAAUUCUGAAUAUCUAUGCCCCAAAUGCAAGGGCACCCACCUUUGUGAAAGAAAGCUCAAAACACACACUGAAUCUCACACAUGAAUAGUGAGAAAUCUUAACAGUCCACUCUUGCCAAUAGACAAGUCACUGAGACAGAAACUAAACAGAGAUGCAGGGAAAAUAACAGAAGUCAUGAACCAAACGGAUUUAACAGAUAUUUACGGAACAUUUCACCCCAAAACUAGGGACUAUACCUUCUUCUCGGUACCUCAUGGAACCUUCACCAAACUGACCAUAUAAUUGGUCACAAAACAAGUUUCAACAGAUACAAGAAGAUUGAAAUAAUCCCAUGCAUCAGAUCACCACGGACUGAGGCUGGACUUCAAUAGCAGCAAAAACAACAGAAAGCCACAUACUCAUGGGAACUGCACAACUCUCUGCUCCGUGAUAAAUUGAUCAGGGAAGAAGAAAGAAAGAAAGAAAGGCCUCCUAGAAUUUAAUAAAAAUGAAGACACAGCACACCUAAAUUUAUGGGACACAGUGAAAGCAGUGCUCAGAGGAAAAGUCACAUGAACAUCUCAUUAGAUGCUGAAAAAGCCUUAAGUCUUGGAGAGAUCAGGAAUUCAUGGUGUAUACCUAAGCAUUAUAAAAGCAAUAUAUAGCAAACAAACAGCUAACAUCAAAUUAAAUGGAGAGAAACUAGAAGCAAUCCCACUAAAAUCAGGGACAAAACAAAGCUGCCCACCCUCUCCCUAUCUAUUCAAUAUAGUACUUGAAGUUCUAGCUAGAGCAAUUAGACAAUUAAAGGAGAUCAUGGGGAUACAAAUUGGAAAGGAAGAAGUAUCACUAUUUGUGGAUGAUAUGACAGUAUACAUAAGCGACCCUCAAAAUUUUACCAGAGAACUCCUACACAGCUGAUAAACAACUUCAGAAAAGUGGAGGGAUAUAAAAUUAACUCAAACAAAUCAGUAGCCUUCCUUUAUACAAAUGAUAAAUAAGUUGAGAAAGAAAAUAGGGAAACAACACCCUUCAAAAUAGACACAGAUAAUAUAAAAUAUCUUGGUGUAACUCUUACCAGGCAAGUGAAAGAUCUGUAUGACAAGACUUCAAAUCCCAGAAGAAAGAAAUUUUAGAAGAUAUCAGAAAAUGGAAAGAUCUCCCAUGUUCAUGAAUAGGUAGUGAAUAUGGCCAUCUUACCAAAAGCAAUCUAUAGAUUCGAAGAAAUCCCUAUCAAAAUUCCAGCACAAUUCUUCAGACAUGGAAAGAGCAAUUCUCAACUUCACAUGGAAAAACAAAAAAAAACACAGGAUAGUGAACACAUUUCUCAACAAUAAAAGAACUUCUGGGGGAAUCAUCAACCCUGACCUCAAGCUGUAUUACAGAGCAAUAGUGAUAAAAAAUCGUAUGGUAUUGGUACAGAGACAGUCAGGUUGAUAAAUAGCAUCAAAGACCCAGAAAUAAACUGACACACCUAUGGAAACUUGAUCUUCAGUAAAGAAGCCAAAAACAUACAAUGGACAAAAGCAUCUUCAAUAAAGUGGUGCUGGUCUAACUGGUGGUCAGCAUAUAGAAGAAUGAAAAUAGAUCCACAUUUAUUACCUUGCACAAAGUUCAAGUCCACUUGGAUCAACAUAAAACCAGAUACAAUGAAUCAAAUAGAAGAGAAAGUGGGAAAGAGCCUCAAACUCAUUGGAAUAGGGGAAAAUUUCCUGAGGAGAACACCAAUGGCUCAGGCUCUAAGAUCAACAACUGAUAAACGGGACCUCAAGAAACUAAAAAGCUUCUAUAAGGCAAAGGACACUUCUGUCAAUAGGACAAAUCGUUAAUUACAUCUUGGCUAAUAUCCAAAAUACAUAAAGAACUCAAGAAGUUAACCUCCAAAAAACCAAAUAACCCAAUUAAAAAAUGGGGUUCAGAGGUAAUUCUCAACAGAGGAAUCUUGAAGGGCCAAGAAGCACUGAAAAGAAAUGUUCAACAUCCUUAGUCAUCAGGGAAAUGCAAAUCAAAAUGACCCUGAGAUUCCACUUACACCAAUCAGAAUGGCUAAGAUCAAAAACUCAGGCAACAGCAGAUGCUGGCAAGGAUGAGGAGAAAGGAACAUUCCUCCAUUGUUGGUGGGAUUGACAACUGGUACAACCAGUCUGGAAAUCAGUCUGGCAGUACCUCAGAAAAUUGGAAAUAGUUCUACCUGAAAACCCAGUAAUACCACUCUUGGGCGCAGACCCAAAAGAUGUUCCACCAUGCCACAGGGCACAUGCUCCACAGUGUUCAUAGCAGCCUUAUUUGUAAUUGCCAGAACCUGGAAACAACCAGAUGUCCCUUCACAGAGGAAUGGAUACAGAAAAUGUGGUUCAUUUAUACAAUGGAGUACUACUGCUCAGCUAAUAAAAACAAGGACAUCAUGAAUAUUGCAGGCAAAUGGAUGGAACUAGAAAGUAUCAUCCUGAGUGAGGUAACCCAGACUCAAAAGGACAUGCAUAUGUACUCACUGAUAAGUAGAUAUUAGCCAAAAAGUACAGAAUACCUAGGAUAUAACCCACAGACCAUGAGAAUUUUAACAAGAAGGAAGGCCCAAGUGAGGAUGCCUUAAUUCCACUUAGAAGGGGGAACAAAAUAAUCAUGGGAAGCCGAGGGAGGGAGGGAUCUUGGUGGGAGACAGAAAGCAGAUGGGAUAAGGGGAACAGGAUCAGGUAUGGGGGUGGGGAAGGACAGAAGAGUAGCCCAGAGGGCCAGCAGAAUGAAUGGACAUAUGUAGCUUCUGGGGGGUGGGAGGUCCCAGAAACCUGGAAUGUGAGAGACUCCCAGGUCUCAAUGUGGGUGACCUUAGGCAAAUUGUCCAACAAUGGGGAGAAGGGCCCACCUCCAGUAGAUAGACAGGGCCCAAGUGGAGGGAUGGGGAUACCAAUCCACAGUCAAAACUUCUGACUUGGAAUUGUUCCUGUCUAAAAGAAAUGCAGGGACAAAAAUGGAGAAGAGACUAAAGGAAAGGCAGUCCAGUGAUCGGCCCAACUUGGGAUCUAUCCCAUGGGCAGGUACCAAGGUCUGACAUUAUUACUGAUGCUAUGAUGUGCUCACAGACAGGAAAGAGCCUAGCAUGGCUGUCCUCUGACAGGCCCUACCAGCAGCUGACUGAGAAAGACAUAUAUUCUUACACCCAACCAUUGAACUGAAGUUGGGGACCCCUAGAGUUGAAUUAGGGGAAGGAAAUGAAAUACACAAGGACUUAAGUUCAGUUUUUAACACUAAAAAAAAAAAUGUCUAUUUUCCUGUCUUAUGGCCAAUACAUAAUCAAUACCAUAAUGUAUUUGCAAUUCAAUACUGAUCCAUGCCCAAGAGCAGGUUCCAGACACUCAGUUUUCUCCUUUUUUUGAAGAAGCUGAAGGGGAGGGUGACCCCCACAGAAAGACCAACAGUCUCAACUAACCCAGAUCCCCAGGAGCUCCCAGAGACCAAGCCACCACCAGGCAGCAUACAUGGGCUGGUCCAAGGCCCCUGGCACAUAUAUAGCAGAAGACUGCCUGGUUUGGCCUCAGUGAGAGAAGAUGUGCCUAACUCUGCAGAGACUUAAGGCCCCAAGGAAGGGGGACGAAGGGAGUGGGGGGACACCCUCUCAGAGGCAAGGGGGAGGGGGAAUGGGAUGAAGAACUGUAGAGGGGAACAGGUGGAGGCAAUGGCUAGAAUGUAAUUAAAUAAAACAAUUAAAAAACAAACAAACCAGACAUUGCUAAGUGUUGCCUCCACUAUUCAGAGAGCAACUGUUAACUGUACCACUCAGAAACCACCUGAUUUCACCUGUCUGCUUACAAGCUGGGUGGGGGGAAGUGCCUGCCGGCUGCCUGUGCCUGCCCGAAAACCCAGCAACUAUGGAAGUUAAGACAAGAAGUACAAAACCAAGGUCUGCCUGAGCUACAGAGAAAGUUAAACCAGAGCAAGUAAGCCAGAGCAACUUAUUGAACCUAAAACAAAAAGGUAAAACAGAAAAUACACAAAGACCUGAGUUCGAUUUUUAGCACUGAAAACUGAUAUAGUCCUGUCUUAUGGCCAAUGCAUUAUCAAUACUGUAUUGUAUUUGCCAUUCAGUAAUGAUCCACACUCAAAACUAUAUUCUAAACACUUUCAGUUUUAAUAUCUUUUUUUAAAUCUUGUACUUGUAGAAGGUAUAAAGUGUAGCCUUGUCAUGUCAACAGGCCACAUGUUUUAUGGAAAGGCUGCUUCCUGGAACCUAAAAGUUCUUCUAAACCAUCACUGCCACAUAGUGAACAUUUUAUGGGCCAGUGAAAUAGUUUUAUGGGUGGAGGCACAGCCUGAGUUUAACCCUAGGACUGACAUGGAAGGAGAAAACCAAACCUAUAACCUGUCCUCAGACAUCCGUGUGUGUGUGUGUGUGUGUGUGUGUGUGUGUGUGUGUGUGUGUGUGUGUGCGCGCGCGCGCACGCGUGCGUUUGUCUGUGUAUACACAAAAUGUCAUAAAAGACUUAUUUUUCUUUCACAUGUAUUUAUAUUUUACUUGGUACAGAAUUUGGGCUGCGGAAAUUUAAUUUUAAUCAUACAAUGAAAUGUAACAACUUGCAGCAACACUGUUACAAGAGCAGAAGUGGCAGCCACUCCUCUCCAACUGGAUUCUAGAAAAGACUUUCCGUUCCAGGAAAAGGAACUCAAGGCUCUUACCUUAUCAGCGAGCAAAGAGCCUGACAUGCACAAAAGCAAGAGUAUGCCAGUGCAAGGUGACUGGUAAGGGACGAGGUCAAGGAGAGGGCAAGCAGCCAGACAUAAAGAGCCUCCUCUGUACUCCAAGGGACAAACAGCCUUUACUUGUUACUCCAAACAUUCUAUUUGCUUGAAAUGCCUAACACUGUAUUUCUCCUCUUAGUUUUUUUUCUUCCCAUGUAUCUGCCUCUUUUUACAUGCUACUUUUUCUGCCUGCUUAUUAAAUACCAAAAUUCACCAAAGCUUAGUCCUAAACCGUCACCUUCUUUGCAAUAUUGACACUCAAACUUAGGGCUCUGAGCAUAUAAUCCUACCACUGACUGAGCCUUGUCCCCAGUCCUAGACUUUCUUCUUUUCUCGCUCUGUCCCCACAUGAUCUUUUGCAGGCAACAAUCUCACUUAACUACCCACAGUUCACAAUCCUACCCUCUUUGUCAGGCCUUUUCUCUGCACUCCAGAUGCAUAUACCCACCCACUGAACCAAUCAUUUCCCUUAACAAAAGCUGAACUCAUUCCACAACCAAGGUCAGUUUGUCUUCAGGGUUCAAUCCUAAUAUCCUCUUUAAUAACACCAUGAACUGCUGUUCAUAGUGCCUUUUAAAAAUGAAAUUACACUCAUACAGUUCAGUGAUCAUUUAAUGCUCAUUUCUAUGAGAUUUAAAAUUUUGUGACAUAUAAAUUAAAAUUCAUUUUAAAAAGUUUUAAAUUUUAUCUUAUGUGUAUGGUUAUUUUGCCUGCAUGUAUGUCUGUGCACUAAGGGCAUGCAUGAUAUUGAGGAAGUCAGAAUAUGGCAUUGGAUCCCCUGCAACUGAUGCUAUGAAGGCAGUGGGAGCUGAACCUGGGUCCUCUGGAAGAGCAGCGAGUGCUCUUACACUGAGCCAUCUCUCCAGCCCCCACCAGUGAUUUUGUUUUAUACUUAAUACAUUUCACUACUCAUUGUUCAUUAUAGUAUCCCUCAGUCCCUGGUUAUUUGUCAAAUAAACAAGAUAACUUUCUAUGAAAUAUGCUAAUCUCUCUCAAGAGAAUUUUGAAAGAGCAUUGAUUUGGGAUGGUGGCAGGGGAAUAAGCUGGUAAAGCCAAUUACUAAAAACUUCUGCUCCUUUCCGAAAUAACUGUUCUCAUAGGCAUUAGAAGACAAUAGGGUUAAUGCUAGAAGUCAUGUCCCACAGGCUGUUUCCAACUAGUCUUUUCCCCACCAGCACGUAGCUGUCAUCUCCAAGACUGCUAUUUCUUGUUCCUCCCGUUUGCUCUUUUCCUUUACCCAAAGCCCCUCUCCUCAUGGUCCUGAUGGAUAACUGGGACAUCUCUGCCUUCCAUUUUAGGACAUAAGAAAGUGGUAAGACAGGGCUGGGGAGAUGGCAUAGUGUGCAAGCGUAAGGACCUGAGUUCUGAUCUCUAGCACUCAUAUAAAAGCUGGGUUUGGUAGUGCAAGUCUGUAAUCCAAGGACUUGAAUUGAGGGGAAGAGAAAGGGAUAGGAAAACAAGUAGAUCCCCUGAGCUGCCCAGCCUCACUAGCCAAUCAGUGAGAAGAGACCCUAUCACAAAAGGUAGAAAGCAAUAGUGGAAAACACCCAAAGCUGACUUCUGGCCUGCAGAAAGGCAUGUCUGUCUGUCUGUCUGUCUGUCUGUCUGUCUGUCUGUCUGUCUCUCUCUCUCUCUCUCUCACACACACACACACA